rnacentral:rRNA from 1 species
AUUGAACGCUGGCGGCAGGCCUAACACAUGCAAGUCUAGCGAGCGGCGGACGGGUGAGUAAUGUCUGGGAAACUGCCUGAUGGAGGGGGAUAACUACUGGAAACGGUAGCUAAUACCGCAUACCAUCAGAUGUGCCCAGAUGUGAUGAGCUAGGAGGUGGGGUCACGGCUCACCUAGGCGACGAUCCCUAGCUGGUCUGAGAGCAUGACCAGCCACAAGGGAACUGAGACAAGUUCCAUGCUCCUACGGGAGUCAGCAGUGGGGAAUAUGGCACAAUGGGAGAAAGCCUGAUGCAGCCAUGCCGCGUGUGUGAAGAAGGCCUUCGGGUUGUAAAGCACUUUCAGCGGGGAGGCGUUACCCGCAGAAGAAGCAACGGCUAACUCCGUGCCAGCAGCCGCGGUAAUUC